rnacentral:rRNA from 1 species
UACGUAGGGUGCAAGCGUUAUCCGGAAUCACUGGGCGUAAAGCGUGCGUAGGCGGAAGCUUAAGUGUGAUGUUAAAUCGUGUGGCUCAACCAUAUCGAUGCAUCGCAUACUGGGUUUCUAGAGGACGGCAGAGGCAAGUGGAAUUGGUAGUGUAGCAGUGAAAUGCGUAGAUAUUACCAGGAACACCAAGUGGCGAAGGCAGCUCGCUGGGACGGUACUGACGCUGAGGCGCGAAAGCGUGGGGAGCAAACAGG